GGGUGCAUGGCUCAGGGGGAGAGCACUUCCCUGACGCGGAAGGGGUCGUAGGUUCAAAUCCUACUGCACCCA
rnacentral:tRNA from 1 species